rnacentral:rRNA from 1 species
UACGUAGGGUGCAAGCGUUAAUCGGAAUUACUGGGCGUAAAGCGUGCGCAGGCGGUGAUGUAAGACAGAUGUGAAAUCCCCGGGCUCAACCUGGGAACUGCAUUUGUGACUGCAUCGCUGGAGUACGGCAGAGGGGAUGGAAUUCCGCGUGUAGCAGUGAAAUGCGUAGAUAUGCGGAGGAACACCGAUGGCGAAGGCAAUCCCCUGGGCCUGUACUGACGCUCAUGCACGAAAGCGUGGGAGCAACAGG